UACGAAGGGGGCUAGCGUUGCUCGGAAUCACUGGGCGUAAAGGGUGCGUAGGCGGGUUUUUAAGUCAGGGGUGAAAUCCUGGAGCUCAACUCCAGAACUGCCUUUGAUACUGAAGAUCUUGAGUCCGGGAGAGGUGAGUGGAACUGCGAGUGUAGCGGUGAAAUGCGCAGAUAUCAGGAGGAACACCGGUGGCGAAGGCGGCUCACUGGCCCGGUACUGACGCUGAGGUGCGAAAGCGUGGGGAGCAAACAGG
rnacentral:rRNA from 1 species